AGCCAUAUGACAGCGACGUUCAGCACAGCAGCGCCACCUGCGGCUCAAUAUUGACACUUUUGUGUGUCUGUCGCUCUGUCUCUGUCUCUGUCUGUGUGUGUGUGUGUGUAGUGUGUGCGUGUGUAGUAGUAUGCGUUAGUGUGUGACUACUGUGGUUGAAGCCCGUCAAAUGGAAAUGAGAAGCGCGCGAAGUGGCGGCAACUUUUCCACUGAAUUGAUUUGCGCAAAAGUCACAGGAUACGCGGUGUAGAUAGCAACAGC